rnacentral:rRNA from 1 species
UGGGGAAUAUUGGACAAUGGGCGAAAGCCUGAUCCAGCCAUGCCGCGUGUGUGAAGAAGGUCUUCGGAUUGUAAAGCACUUUAAGUUGGGAGGAAGGGCAGUAAGCGAAUACCUUGCUGUUUUGACGUUACCGACAGAAUAAGCACCGGCUAACUCUGUGCCAGCAGCCGCGGUAAUACAGAGGGUGCAAGCGUUAAUCGGAAUUACUGGGCGUAAAGCGCGCGUAGGUGGUUCGUUAAGUUGAAUGUGAAAGCCCCGGGCUCAACCAGGGAACUGCAUCCAGAACUGGCGAGCUAGAGUAGGGCAGAGGGUGGUGGUAUUUCCGGUGUAGCGGUGAAAGGCGUAGAUAUAGAAAGGAACACCAGUGGCGAAGGCGACCACCUGGGCUCAUACUGACACUGAGGUGCGAAAGAGUGGGGAGCAAACAGG